UCCCAGUGCGCGUGCGCACUCAGUCUCGCGCCCUUUUGGACAGCAAGUGUUUUACUCAUCAAUCGUCUUGACGUCCACAGAAAGCCAAAGUUCACGGAGAAAUGGAAAAUAAACGUAUGGGGUGUCACAAAACAAAAAAAGGGAAGAGUGCGAAGAAGAUGGAAAAAGAGGGUUUUAACGUGGUUGACGGCAUUUGGACACCUCUGCUCCAGACAGCAUUAAGUUAUGUCAGCGAAUCAAGGGGGAGGUUUGUAAAUGUUGAGGUUAGCUGAAGCUACAACGAGUCAAAACGACAGGUUACUGUUGUCUGAUCAUUUGUCCAGGUCAUUCAGAUGUGAGGAUGGAAAGAGACAAGAAGAGAAAGAAUGAGGACAGACAGGAGAAAGCGACAGUGGAGAAGAACAGACAAGAAGAGAAGGAGACAGUGAUGGAGUCUGCUAUAGAGCAGACCAGUGAUUAUGUAAGAUGGCGGGGACUUCGAGACAUGACCGAGAUAUGGCGCUGAACGCCAAGCGUCAACUGUCGGUGUGUUCUGACCCAGUGGAAAGACUCCGCCUCCAGUGUCUGGCCAGGGGUUCGGCUGGGAUCAAAGGUCUCGGCAGAGUCUUCAGGAUCAUGGACGACAACCAAAACCGUACGCUGGACUUGAAGGAGUUCCUGAAGGGAGUCAACGACUACGGCAUCCUGAUGGACAAACAGGAAGCUGCUGCUCUCUUCCAGCAUUUCGACCGUGACGGCAGCGGGGCCAUCGACUUUGACGAGUUCCUGGUCACGCUAAGGCCCGCCAUGUCGAAGUCCCGCAAGGAGGUGGUCAUGCAGGCCUUCCGCAAAUUGGACAAGACCGGCGACGGCGUGAUCACCAUCGAAGAUCUGAGGGGGGUUUACCACGCCAAGUACCACCCUAAGUACCAGAACGGGGAAUGGACAGAGGACCAGGUCUUCAAGACAUUCCUGGAUAACUUUGAUUCUCCCUACGACAAAGACGGCAAGCGAACAACACGGCGGCUCCAGUCCAACCCGGAAAUGUGGCCGCUACAGCAGGUGCAUGGCGAGGCUGGUCCGCCCCCGCGGUGCUCAACUCGCCCAACUCGGACGGACCGAAGCCGAAAAACCGGCAGACUUGUUGUCGUCCGCACGCCCCUCCGUCACUUCCUGGAAGAAGUCCACGCUUGUUGACGUCCCCCUCAGCCGCCUUCCCGACUCACUCACCGCCGCACUGGACUUUCCUGUCAGGUGGAUUACAGCAGCGCGCUGUGAUUGGAGGAGGGGCGCCGUGACGUCACGGAGUGAGUGGAGCCUUUGUAAGGUGACGUCAGCGUUACUCCCAUACACUCCCUGUGCAGGUAUGGGCGCUUGUUGGCCACGCCCACAUCUCGCCACCCACAGGAAGGAUCUGGAGGUGGGCGGAGCCAACCAAACAUCGACAGUCGAUACCAAGGGCAUAGUAUCUUGUGAUGAGAUUGAUAUUUUUCAGUGACCCUCAUUCAGAAAGCGUUUUUUCCCAAAAUAUUUGUUGUUAUUAUAUUGUCUUGUAUUGCUACAUGUAUAUAUUUAUAUAUUUUGUUGUAUUUAUAAUGUAAAAUUGUCUUAUAUUGUUUGUGACAGUGCAUCCGGAAAGUAUUCACUUUUUUUGCCUUAUUAAAAAAUGGAAUGAAGUCCUUUUUGUCCUCAAAAUUCUACACA